UGGGAGGUCGUUCAACGGUAGGACGGCAGACUCUGGAUCUGUCUAUCGGGGUUCGAAUCCCUGCCUCCCAGCCA
rnacentral:tRNA from 1 species